rnacentral:rRNA from 1 species
AUUGAACGCUGGCGGCAUGCCUUACACAUGCAAGUCGAACGGCAGCGGGGGAGAAGCUUGCUUUUCCUGCCGGCGAGUGGCGAACGGGUGAGUAAUACAUCAGAACGUGCCCUGUAGUGGGGGAUAACUAGUCGAAAGAUUAGCUAAUACCGCAUACGACCUGAGGGUGAAAGUGGGGGACCGCAAGGCCUCAUGCUAUAGGAGCGGCCGAUGUCUGAUUAGCUAGUUGGUGGGGUAAAGGCCUACCAAGGCGACGAUCAGUAGCUGGUCUGAGAGGGCGAUCAGCGACACUGAGACUGAGACACGGCCCAGACUCCUACGGGAGGCAGCAGUGGGGAAUUUUGGACAAUGGGCGAAGGCCUGAUCCAGCAAUGCCGCGUGUGUGAAGAAGGCCUUCGGGUUGUAAAGCACUUUUGUCCGGAAAGAAAUGGCUCUGGUUAAUACCUGGGGUCGAUGACGGUACCGGAAGAAUAAGGACCGGCUAACUACGUGCCAGCCGCCGCGGUAA